rnacentral:rRNA from 1 species
GACGAACGCUGGAGGCGUGCUUAACACAUGCAAGUCGAACGAUGAAAUGGAGCUUGCUCCAUGGAUUAGUGGCGAACGGGUGAGUAACACGUGAAUAACCUGCCCUUAAUUUUGGAAUAACCCAGGGAAACCUGGGCUAAUACCGGAUAAGUAAACCUGUGGCAUCACAUGGUUUUGGAAAGUUUUUCGAUUAAGGAUGGAUUCGCGGCCUAUCAGCUUGUUGGUGAGGUAAUGGCUCACCAAGGCGACGACGGGUAGCCGGCCUGAGAGGGGGAACGGCCACACUGGGACUGAGACAAGGCCCAGACUCCUACGGGAGGCAGCAGUGGGGAAUAUUGCGCAAUGGACGAAAGUCUGACGCAGCGACGCCUCGUGAGGGACGAAGGUCUUCGGAUUGUAAACCUCUUUCAGCAGGGACGAAGCGAAAGUGACGGUACCUGCAGAAGAAGCACCGGCUAACUAUGUGCCAGCAGCCGCAGUAA